CCGGGGUGCCGGGCUGGCUUCCUGCGCACCUCGGCCGGGCACGGUGCGAGCCGAGCGGCGGCACGGGGGUCACGGCCCCGGCAGCGGGAAGGGGGCAGCGCCAUGGGGCUGCCCGGCAGCCGCUGAGGAUGGAGGUGCUGUGCCUGCUCGUGGCGGCUCUCUGUGCCGCGGCUCCCGGACCAGCCCCGGCGGAGCCCAUGGGGACCCCCAGCGGGGCAAAGAGCGGCGCGGCUGGGAACGCUUCGGUGGAACCAGGUCCCCCUGGUGAGGCCGUGCUGCGCCUGGCUGGCGGCAGCGAGCGCUGCGAGGGCACGGUGCAGCUGCUGCAGGGCGGCCACUGGCUGCCCGUGUGCCGGAGCUCCUGGCACGCCGCAGCCUCCCAGGAGCUGUGCCGCCGCCUGCACUGCGGGGAUGCCGAGGAAGACGCCACGCUGCUGAGCCUGACAGGGGAACGGGACAGCACCGACGGCUGCCCCGUGGCCGUGACCAACUGCAGCGGCUGGGCGCUGGAGCCGUGCUGGCUGCGCCUGGCCACCGAGCCACACUGCUGCGCCACAGGGCCGGCUCGCGUCACCUGCACCGGUAAGAGCCACCGGGGCACAGCGGUGCCAGCACGAGCUGGUGGCCGCCACCACAGCCUCCCGGCACGUGGGGGCUCCUGGCGGUGCCAGCAGCGUUCCCCCAUCCCGACAGCUGCCCCGGCGCUGCGGCUGGCGGGCG
rnacentral:lncRNA from 1 species